rnacentral:rRNA from 1 species
AGAGUUUGAUCCUGGCUCAGAGUGAACGCUGGCGGCGUGCUUAACACAUGCAAGUCGAACGAUGAUAGAGAGCUUGCUCUUUUGAUUAGUGGCGCACGGGUGAGUAAUAUAUAGAUAAUGUACCCCUUAGUCUGGGAUAGCCACUGGAAACGGUGGUUAAUACUAGAUACUCCUUCUAGCUUUAAGGUUAGUCGGGAAAGUUUUUUCGCUAAGAGAUCGGUCUAUAUCCUAUCAGUUAGUUGAUGAGGUAAUGGCUCACCAAGGCAAUGACAGGUAGCGGGUUUGAGAGGAUGACCCGCCACACUGGUACUGAGACACGGACCAGACUCCUACGGGAGGCAGCAGUGAGGAAUAUUGCACAAUGGGCGAAAGCCUGAUGCAGCAACGCCGCGUGGAGGAUGACGCAUUUCGGUGUGUAAACUCCUUUUAUGAGUCAAGAAAAUGACGGUAGCUCAUGAAUAAGCACCGGCUAACUCCGUGCCAGCAGCCGCGGUAAUAC